rnacentral:rRNA from 1 species
UACGUAGGGUGCGAGCGUUAAUCGGAAUUACUGGGCGUAAAGCGUGCGCAGGCGGUUCGUUAAGACAGAUGUGAAAUCCCCGGGCUUAACCUGGGAACUGCAUUUGUGACUGGCGAGCUAGAGUAUGGCAGAGGGGGGUAGAAUUCCACGUGUAGCAGUGAAAUGCGUAGAUAUGUGGAGGAACACCGAUGGCGAAGGCAGCCCCCUGGGCCUGCACUGACGCUCAUGCACGAAAGCGUGGGGAGCAAACAGG